UGCCCGGUUCGUCCGCCACAGGGCAAAAUACGGGUUUUCCGCACCCGCGAGGGUGCGUUCGAAUCACGCGCCGGGCGGC
rnacentral:tRNA from 3 species